rnacentral:rRNA from 1 species
AGGGUUCGAUUAUGGCUCAGGAUGAACGCUGGCGGCGCGCCUAACACAUGCAAGUCGAACGGCACCCCUCUCCGGAGGGAAGCGAGUGGCGAACGGCUGAGUAACACGUGGAGAACCUGCCCCCUCCCCCGGGAUAGCCGCCCGAAAGGACGGGUAAUACCGGAUACCCCCGGGCGCCGCAUGGCGCCCGGGCUAAAGCCCCGACGGGAGGGGAUGGCUCCGCGGCCCAUCAGGUAGACGGCGGGGUGACGGCCCACCGUGCCGACAACGGGUAGCCGGGUUGAGAGACCGACCGGCCAGAUUGGGACUGAGACACGGCCCAG